rnacentral:rRNA from 1 species
CUACGGAGGGUACAAGCGUUAAUCGGAAUUACUGGGCGUAAAGUGUACGUAGGCGGUUCGUUAAGUUAGAUGUGAAAGCCCCGGGCUUAACCUGGGAACUGCAUUUAAAACUGGCGAACUAGAGUUGAGUAGAGGGGAGUGGAAUUUCAGGUGUAGCGGUGAAAUGCGUAGAGAUCUGAAGGAACACCAGUGGCGAAGGCGACUCCCUGGACUCAAACUGACGCUGAGGUACGAAAGCGUGGGUAGCAAACGGGAUUAGAAACCCUAGUAGUCC